rnacentral:rRNA from 1 species
UAACGCGUGAGUAACCUGCCUUUCAGAGGGGGACAACAGUUGGAAACGACUGCUAAUACCGCAUAACAUAUAGGUGCCGCAUGGCACUUAUAUCAAAGAUUUAUCGCUGAGAGAUGGACUCGCGUCUGAUUAGCUAGUUGGUGGGGUAACGGCCCACCAAGGCGACGAUCAGUAGCCGGACUGAGAGGUUGGCCGGCCACAUUGGGACUGAGAUACGGCCCAGACUCCUACGGGAGGCAGCAG